rnacentral:lncRNA from 1 species
CUAUGCUGCUACCGUUAUCACAGCCGACUGCGCCUGCAGGGGGUCAUUGGUUUGUGGACGUUGUGGAGGUAAACAUAACUCCCUUGACUGUACGGCCACGUUGCCAUGCUGCUGUCGGUGCAGAGGGCAUCACAUCGCAGCUGAUCCUAGAUGCCCUAGAGUACGCGCUGAGGCGGAGCGCCUGCGGCGCUGUGCUUUGCGCCUUGAACCGAGAGCUUUACAAGCUUCGCAUCCUACUCCCAGAAGGGAGACUUACGCUUCAGUGACUUCAGGAACGGCCACCAGAGUACAGGCUCCUCUGCAUCGUCCAGAGGGCCCGGAAAAAACUUCGGUAGCGACUUCCCAACAGGAUAUUCCUCAGCAAUUGCUCGAGGCAAUGAAACAACUUACUAUGCAAUUGCAGGAGUGUGCAGUCCGUAUCCAGCAUCUGGAAGCAAAGAUAGCA